CCAAUUUCGCGAGGGAAGCUGCCGAGCGAAACAAGGUGGCCGCAUAUGUUGCGAGCCAGAUAGGGCAGACCGCGCAGGUCCGUGCAGACCACGGCAUGUCGCAUCGCGUUGCUCGACGUGCAGCCGUCAGGCCGUCGGGCCCGCCGCCCGAAGGCGCCCGUGUGCGCAUGAAAAAAGGCCUUCAUCUGGCGAUGAAGGCCUUUUACU
rnacentral:ncRNA from 1 species